GGUCGGGACACAGUCGGCUCUGUUUAAAAAUUAAUUCUGGAGGGGGUUUUGGAGUGGGGUGAGGGGAGGCAGGGAAGCAGGGCAGAAAGCCUUCCAUUGUCCAGGAGAGAGAAGGCCUGGAAGGGAGGUGGUAGCUGUGGGGUGGAGCAGAGACGCCGGCUGUGUGAAUCACAGCUCAGACAGACGGCCCGGUUGUUUCCAAGUUCAGGGAUGGUCACCUGGGUGGCGGGGUGCAGCUGCUCAGCUCCGAUUUGCUCUGAGUCAGAACCAUGCCCUGUUCUGCCUGGUGGGGAGCGGAGCUCUGGCAGUUACCCUGUCCAGCUGCCCGGCCUCCCGGCUUCUGGACGGGCACAGCCACAGGGGAGGUGUGAGGGGCGAGGCUAAGGUAACUCGCUACCCCUGGGGUUUCACCUGCAGUGCCUGUCUCCUUUGCUAUCAGCUCCUGCUGUUGUGUGAGAUUCCAGCUCCCCCUGGGUGACCUUGCCUGUGGGGCACCAUGACACCGUGACGCUACCCCUCUGUGUCACUGCUGCCGUCAAGGUGACCAUGGCCUCCUGCCUUGCUCACACUGCCCGCCUUCCUCUGUUUUUCCUACAUCUUUGUAACCAUGUCCCCAUAUCAAAUUCCCGCCAUUGAAGUACUCAGGGUGGGUGCUGUUUUCCCAGUCAGAGCCUGGGGGUGGAGAUGAAAUGACCUCAGGAGGUGGGUGGUGCAGCAGACAAGGAGAGGAGAGGAACACAGUUCAGUUUCGGAUAUGUCUCAUGUUUCAGACGAGAUGCCGACUACGCACGUAGUGGCCUCCAUGCCAAUUGUUCACAAAGCUAGUGGAGGUAAUUCUUUAAAGCCAGAGCAGAAGACCAGAUCCUUUCCUGCUUAGCAUAUUCCGGUGCUUUCCACUGCACCUAGAAUAAAAGAGAAGCCCCUCAUCUGCGUACAUGAGCCCCAACCUGCACCUGUAACUUUCUUUUUGACAGGCAGAGUUAGACAGUGAGAGAGAGAGAAAGAUCUUCCUUCCGUUGGUUCACUCCCCAAACAGCUGCCACGGCUGGCGUGCUGCGCCGAUCUGAAGCCAGGAGCCACGUGCUUCCUCCUGGUCUCCCAUGCGGGUGCAGGGCCCAAGCACUUGGGCCAUCCCCCACUGCCCUCCCGGGCCACAGCAGAGAGCUGGACUGGAAGAGGAGCAACCGGGACUAGAACGCGGCGCCCAUAUGGGAUGCCGGCGCUGCAGGCGCAGGAUUAACCAAGUGAGCCAUGGCGCCAGGCCCCUGCACCUGUAACUCUUGUCCCCUCACUCACACUGUCCAGGCACAGGGACCCUUGCUAACGUCCCAGGGCCCUUGCAUGGCUCUUCCUUCUGCUGGGAGGCUGUCUGCUCAGCUUCCCACGUGCUGUCUUACGUGGGUCCCUGCUUCUGUGCCACCUCUGCAGACUCCUGUCCCGCGUCUCCCUGCUCUGAGCUGUGCUCUUGCUUGGGGUCCUGGCUUUCUGAGGUUACAGCCUCUGCUUCUUCCUACUUGGAGUCCUUUGCCUUGUUGCCUUUCUGGGCUUCCCUGUACCUUGUUUCAAGUCCAGCACCUGUGAAGGACGGAGUAACUCUCCGCUGAACACAUGAGUAAUUAUGUCACCUUGACAAAGUGCCACACAGCAAGGUGCUUUGUGUUUUUCAUAUUUUAUCGCUUACCUUUUUAUUUUUUGUAAUUUAACUUCAAUGAUUUCUCUGCUACACUACUCAUCUUUCCCAACAGGUGGCGCCCCUCCUCCAGGGAACAUCGCUCUCCGUUCUGCCCAGGGAAUCUAGCUGCUGGACUUGACCAGGAUGAGCCCUUCCCUGGAUGUGUUUAAUACUUGUCGCCUCUCUCCAGAGAGGUGAGCUUGGCACCUCUAGAGCUGCAGUUUCUGGAGAGGUGCGUUUGGUCGUUAUUUGCUGGAUGAACGAGAGGGCAGUGGGGCCCACAGGAAGCCUUGCGGCUCCUCGUCUCUGUCUGUUCUGCAGACUGCGGGUCACUGGACAAGGGUGUCCGGGGGGUGUGAUGGCUGUGCCAGUUUUGUGGCGCUGCUCAUGGGAGGGCGCCUCCUGCCUGCAUGGGAGGAACAGGCCUCACCACGGACACAGGCCCCUGACGCCCAGGGCAGCUAGACUCGAGCUCGGGGCACCACAGCCCUGAGGACUUCUAGAACUUCAGGGUAACUCAGAAGGCAGGCAUCCUGCUGGACGCAAUACGGGGGGAGACAGACCUCACAGAACAGGGGGCCACGUUCUCGGGAGCUGGGGCCCAGCGUCCAGAGAGGUCUGGCAGAUCCUGCGCCCCAGGCCUGACGUGGUGCUUGCCAGCAAGGAGCCUGGAAAGCUGUGGGCGCGAGCCGCACACACCCGGGCAGGCCCUGGCACAACAGCCGGGUUAGGUGCUGGUCUGUGAAGUAUGGGCUCACUGCACAGCACUCCCCGGCCCCUUCCCUUUCCCAAGGAGCCCAAGCCCCAGCCCUACAGACUGGGCUCCUGGGGCCCAAGGAGGACAGACUUUCCAGAGCGCCACUGAGUGUUGGGUUCUGACAGGUUCUCUUCUGCCCUGGGGCCUAGAACCUCUCAGUUCUCACUCCCUGGGAUCAGAGAGGCACAGCAUACGCCCCACUUGCUGCCAUGCCCUCCUCCUCCACGGAACCAUUCAGAUGCCAGAGGCUGUUUGUCUCCAGCGAUGAGCACCUGACCCACUGAGUCAUAGUUGCAAAAGCACGUUUCAGUCAAUGAAGGCCCACAAGGCCUACAAUGGUCCUGUGAGAUUACAGUGCCUGGGGACGCUUGACGCUACAGCACAGCGUGUUGCUCAGGUGUUUGUGAAGGUGCCGGUGUCAACAACCAAAGCACAGCAAGUAUGGUGACACACACACAGUCCAUCACGCCUGAUCGUGUUAAUCACCGACCACAUCAUGGACCUGUGUGUUCACUGCACUGGGUCUCAUGAUUUUUAAGCAUCCUCCUACUUCUAAAAAAAGCUUACUAUGAACCAGUUGCCGUGGUCAGCAGGACAGCCUACACGCAUCACAGUGCCUCCCCACCCCCCUUUUUAAAAAAGGUCUAUUUAUGGCCAGCGCCGCGGCUCACUAGGCUAAUCCUCCACCUAGCUGCGCCGGCACACCAGGUUCUAGUGCCAGUCGGGGCGCCGGAUUCUGUCCCGGUUGCCCCUCUUCCAGGCCAGCUCUCUGCUGUGGCCAGGGAGUACAGUGGAGGAUGGCCCAAGUGCUUGGGCCCUGCACCCCAUGGGAGACCAGGAGAAGCACCUGGCUCCUGCCAUCGGAUCAGCACGGUGCGCCAGCUGCGGCGGCCAUUGGAGGGUGAACCAACGGCAAAGGAAGACCUUUCUCUCUGUCUCUCUCUCACUGUCCACUCUGCCUGUCAAAAAAUUUAAAAAAAAAAAAGUCUAUUUAUUUGAAAGUCAGAGUUAGAGAAGGAGAGACAGAGAGAGACAGAUCUUUCAUGUGCUGGUUCACUCCCCAGGUGGGGGCCUCCGUGUGAAACCUACUGUGGCCCCAGAAUUAUAAAGGAGGUCACCACAUAUCAUCCCUCACCUUUCUGAUGUGGAUCUUGCCAUAAUUUCAGAAAUAUUUUUAGUUACACCCUUCUUAAAAAUCUCAGUUCCAUUAAAGACACUCCAGGUAUUUUUGCGGAUGCAUGGAACCCGGGUUUACAAGGAACCCAAGGAGGCCUUAAAAGUGGGUAUUUCUUUAUUUGAAAGGCAGAGUUACAGAGACAGAAAGAGUGAGACCUUCUACCUGCUAUUUCAUUCCCCCUAUGGCCACGAUGGCUGAGGCUGGGCCAGGUUGAAGCCAGGAGCUUGGAACUCCAUGCCGGUCUCCCACAUGGGCCGCCCUUGGCUGCCUUUCCAGGCGCAUUGGCAAGGAGCUGGACUGGGAGCAGAGCAGCCAGGACCGGAACUGAUGCUCCCCUAUAGGAUGCCGGCCUCCUGGGCGGCGGCUUACCUGGCUGUUGCGCCAUAAUGCCUGGCCCCCAUUUGGUCAUUUUUAAUUCACGGCAGCCACUAGCUCUCAGCUCGGAUCUGCUUAGGCUCACUUCUGGUAAGAGUGCAAUGAGAGCUGUACAAGAUACCCACUUUUCACCCGUCACCUGCUCCCUGCUUUGUGUGAGCCGAUGUCACCGAGGAGGCCUCCUGGCAAUGUCCACCCAGGCUCUUUGAGGCCAGAAUUCCAGCCCUGGGACUUCUCUGACAGACGUUCUCCCGCUCUUCCACACGUGGCCGCUGUGCAUGAUGGUAUCUGCUGUGGCCCCGUGUCUGGAAGCCGAAGCCUGGAAAUGACCCAGAUGUCCGCCUGCAGGCCCGCAAGCGCGGCUUCAGAGAAUUCAGGGGAAACGGGCAGCAUGAAAACCUAAGCGUGGGGGUCACAUGUCUUUGGCACCGAAAUAAACUUAGCCCUUAGCUGUAUUUUUGCACAAACUUUUCAAGAGCCCUGGUGUCCAGGCAGGAGACAGCGCGGAGCUGCUCUGGGAUUCCUGACACGGUGUGACCGCCGAGCGCAUCCACUGGAAACCAAGACGGAGACGCUGCGAGCGGGGCUGCCACGACCGCAGACGAGAAGGGGCCGGCCCCCAGCCCCAGGGCCCGAACACGCUCCCGGCCCCUUGCACAACCCUUCGCCUCUUCCCCCGGCCCCCUCGCGGCCUCGCCCGCCGGCCCCGCACCACCCCGCGGCCCUGCAGCCGCUGUUCCUGCCUGGGCCGCCCUCCUCCCCGCUCCCCUCCGCCGGGCCCACCUUCUCCGCCGGGAGCUCGGCCGGCCACGGCGCCGCACACAGCUCCGCACUGGGCUGUGCAGGGAGAAGCCGCACGGUUCUCUCCUGUCUCCCGCCUUUUCUCGUCAGGGCCGCUCAGGGCAGCGACUUCCGGGGUCGCCAGUGGGCGGGGCUACGUGCGCGCGUGCCCAGGCCCGGCCAUACCCCGGUUCUUCCCGUCCGCGCGGCCGCGGGCCUCGCGGGUGUGUGAGGUGGAGGCCCCGCGGGUGUGUGAGGUCUCGCAGGUGUGUGAGGCCCCGCGGGUGUGUGAGGCCCGCGAGUGUGUGAGGUCUCGCGGGUGUGUGAGGCCCGCGAGUGUGUGAGGUCUCACGGGUGUGUGAGGUGGAGGCCUCGUGGGUGUGUGAGGUGGAGGCCCCGUGGGUGUGUGAGGUCUCGUGGGUGUGUGAGGUCUCGCGGGUUUGUGAGGCCUGCGAGUGUGUGAGGCCCUGUGGGUCUGUGAGGUGGAGGCCGCACGGGUGUGUGAGGUCUCGCGGGUGUGUGAGGCCCGUGGGUGUGUGAGGCCCCGCGGGUGUGUGAGGCCCCAUGGGUGUGUGAGGUCUCGCGGGUGUGUGGGGCCCCACGGGUGUGUGAGGCCCCGCGGGUGUGUGAGGUGGAGGCCUCGGGCCCUGCGGAGCCUCCUUCUCCGCCACCCAUCCGGGUGCCCUCCCGAGGGCUCGCGGCCUUCAGUCACCGUCCCCAUCAGCCAGCCCUCAAGUGGCCACCCAGUCCCACCCACCCCUGGAACACAGAGACUUCGCGGGAGCUGAAGUUUAUGUAAUUAGAGAACGAGAAUACAAAGUUGUGAAUGUAAAAGUCAUACAAAGUGAGCGCCUGCUUAGACGAAGAACCACAGCACCCCAUCCUGACCCCACCAUGCCGUGAUCCCACCCUGCCCUGUCCCGACCCCCCCCCAUCCUGACCCCUGCCCUGUCCUGACCCCACCCCAUCUGACCCCACCCCCGCCCUGACCCCAACCUUGCCCUGCCCUUACCCUAUCCUGUCCUGACCACACCCACCCUGAACCAACCUCACACGAUGCUGUGCUGUAUUUUCCACACAGCAAGUGUGUUUAGCACACUGUCGUGAGCGUAGUAAUGGCACCGAGACUGUGCUGGUCCCAAUAAGGAUUUUAUUAAGCUGUGGGGAAGUUACACUUUAAAAAUUUUUUUUAAAGAUUUUAUUUAAAAGAGGCAGAGUUACAGACAGACGGAGAGACAGAGAGGGAGCGAGAGAGCAAGCUUCCAUGCACUGGUGCACUCCCCGGUGUAUGUAAACCACAAAGAGGCCCAGGGAGACUCUGAACAGACUCUCCUGAGAGCAGCCGGGUGGAAGCUCCAGGUUGGCCCACCACACUCAGACCCUCCCCCAAGAGAGUUCCCAGCCAGCCCUGCGCCUGCCGGGUGUCAAGGCCCUGAGCUGGCCUGAAACAGACUCGACUCGCCCUUCGAGACCUGCAUUCUUCGCUCGCGGCAACACUGGCGUGGAUGCUGUGAGAAUCCACCCUCUGUGGCUAAGACACAUCGUGAGGAGCACUGCAGCACCUGGCACGCCGUCCACACAGAGGAGCAGACACUUAGCAGAGAAGGGGUCAAGAACAGUGAGUAUCGUCUGGGCACAGGAACCGUGUUCUCGGCACAGCCAGCUAUUUCCCCAUGCAGCAUUUUACUGAUGAGUCUCCCCACAUUCUGAUACUCGGUAUCUCAGCACAGCUCGCUCGCUCUCCCCCUUCACUGCUCAGUGGAGCCUCAGGGCUCACUUGCAGAGGGGUGUGUGUGUGUGUUCAGGCGUUUCCCUGCCUUUGGUUAGCAGUCUGUGGUGUGAGAAUCACGGUAUAGGUUCAUUUUAAAUCACACAAAAUAGUUCCAGGAAAGCCCAGGUUUUCCAAAUCGUAAUUGUCGCUCCCCGUCUUCGUGGAGGAACGACACAGGAUCCUGCGCUGUUCUUUUGUCUGCUCGGCCCUCCCCGGGUUUGCUGCUGGUUCUUCCCGGGUUGGCUACUGUCCCUUCCACCUCCGUGGAAGGGCGGUUCCCCCUGCCACAUUCCCCACUUCCGCGGGGGAGCGGCACACCGCCGGCCGGCUCUCUCGGGGGCUGCACAGGUGUUCCCCUUAGAUGUUCCCCUUAGAUGUUCCUCUUAGAUGUUCCUGGUGCAUGCCGUCUCUCUCCUCCUUUAUAGUCCUCUUCCACCAAUCCCAACUCGGCUGCCCACACGCCGAGCACGCUGCUCUCCUCCAAUCAGGAGCAGG